UACAGAGGGUGCGAGCGGUAAUCGGAAUUACUGGGCGUAAAGCGUGCGUAGACGGUUAUUUAAGUCGGGUGGGAAAGCCCCGGGCUCAACCUGGGAAUUGCAUUCGAGACUGAAUAGCUAGGGUACGGUAGAGGGAAGCGGAAUUUCCGGUGUAGCGGUGAAAUUCGUAGAUAUUCGCAAGAACACCAGUGGCGAAGGCGGCUCGCUGGCCCGAUACUGACGCUGAGGCACGAAAGCGUGGGGAGCAAACAGG
rnacentral:rRNA from 1 species